rnacentral:lncRNA from 1 species
UCGCGAGUUUUUGAAGGAUCUGCAAUUUCAUUUUAGCUUGUGAACAUAGAUCAAAAUGGCGACUCGAUAGAAAGAUACACUGCGGCUCAUCUAUACCUUAAGGUUGGCAAACUAGUAAGUUACCUCGGAUCCGGUGAAACUUGAAAAGGCGCGCUCGGUCAUUUCCGGUGCGACAUUUUAAAAGACCCGCGCUUGGUUUUGAAGCAGCGCGCCAAUGCGCAUGCUAACUGUUGAGGCCCGAAUAUCACCAACUCCUUUCAUUGGUCGAUUUCAAAUUCUGAUCGAAGUCGUUUGUUUGUUUUUGAAAUUUUGAUUCAAUCGUUGAUAACAAAGCUUUUUCCUUUCAGUUUGUACUAACUUUCGUUCUAUUAUUUCGCCGUUAUCAGUUUUAUCUUACUUUUACACUGAUUGAAGGCACAGCCUGUUCUUGGAACCGGUAAGUAUUUGUUUCUUAUCAUAGCCCACACCUAAGAUUAGAUCAACAAGUAGUCGAAAAUCCAUCCGAGUCAACCAUCCUUCACAUUCAAUUCUCAGUGUAGCACCCAAUCUUUUUUAAAUAUCCGACCGUUUUACUUUUAUCGUUCUCUUUAAAAAGCCAGUUGGUUCAUGCAACACGUCAUACGUCAUUAAGUAUAAUUAAAAAUGUUAUUGAUGGUGAUCAACUGAAAGAAACUUGGAACUCAACAUGUGUGCUCCUUGCACAGUGUUACCCUGAAAUAAGAUCUAUUGCAUCUGCGCUAAUGUCACUUACUGGAAAAUCAUUCGAAUACUAGAUUAACAAUACCAAAAAUUGAUAUGGCAUCAGCUAGUCAAAUCGAUAGUGACGAGGAGGAUGUAUUCUGGGGGCCAGUGACUAUGAAAGAAAUUAAAGUUACUUUCAAGAAAGAGCUAGAAGAAUUGAAUCGUCGACGGUCUGCAGAAGUGAAAAAGACUGAUGCAGACAUAAACAACGGAACAUCGUAUUCUUUACCAAAAAGGCUUGAAGAUGAUCAUGUCUCUCCAGUGUCGCACGAAUCAACUUUUUUGAAUACACAAAGGAGCCACCCUCAAUCCAACGGUCACAUCAUCACCAAUUACGGUGAUCCGCAGCCAGAGGAAGAGACCUGUUUUGCCUCUACACCACAAAAAUUAGUCAAUACUUCAGGUAAUGGUACCUCUCAGGAUAACAAAGAAAGCACCUUCAACUCCUCCAGUAUGACACCGAUCUCGUCUCCCAUAAAAGAAAACUGCUCUUCAACUUACACGACUCCAUCGUUGGCGUCUCAGUCUCGUAAUGAUUUUGAUUCUUCUUUUGCGUCAGUGGCAUCCUCUUUUAUUGAUGAGUCAGACUCCCCUGCUCUAGAGGUUGCGUCAGAAAGUUUUGAAAAAGUCGAUCCAAAACGUUAUGAUGCCCGGAGUAUGAACAUUCCUGAUGUAAUUGGAAGUCACAUACAAUCCUCUGUCUCUCCAUUGUUGAGUAUCACUGAAAAGUUGAACCUUCAACCAUCCGAGAAAAAUUCACCUGAGAACAUUCUUCAAGGUAUUGAUUCUAUCUCAAAUAACUCACCGGUCCCAGUGAAAGGUGUGCUUCCAACUCCUAUCAUAGAAUCAAAAAUUGAUAAAAUGUCUACUUCCUCUGCAUCUCUGACAACUGGCAACAAGGUCUCUCAAAUGAAUGGUGUUCAGAAUAUAACUUCAGAUUGCAACUUGUCAGAUAGCUCUGAUAAAGGGAAUCAUCUCAGUCCUAAAAAAGAGCUCAUUCUAGGCGGGGGAACUGCUCCACAGAAAUUUAAGUCCGAAGAUAGUCAAUGUGUUCCUUGCUCUGCAGAAGAAAAAUUUUUGAAUGAGAAUGGUCUGUCCAAAGUUGCCAAAAGUCGCGAUUUGAAAAUGAGCUCUGGAUCAGAUUCGCCUGCUUCUCUAAAAUUUCAAGCAACUGAUUCUCCUUUGAAACCAUUUAAUAUUUCACAAUUUACUGAGGCAGAUUUAUCAGAUGUAUCUCCACCAAAUUUCUCUGUUUUUGAUGAUUCUGUCAUGUCUGUCAAUCAGACCCAGCUUCCGACUUUAUCUAAAUUGAAAAGAACUUCUGAAGUACCCAGCAGGAAGUUAGCAGGAAGCAAUUUACCUAGAUUUGGACUAAAACCGCCUCAGAAGAAGAGUAUUGUCAAUAUAUCAGCGCCAAAAGCAUCUGUAGAACAGAAAAAUACAAAUAACUUUUCCAACCAUUUAACUUCCCCGAAAGCUUCUACGAGUCCCAAGGUAUUAAGAAACCUUGGGACUCAGAUUCCACCUAUUGUUGAUACUAAGACUGGGCUCAACCAGUGCUUACCAUGUGGUGAAAAGACACCACAAAAAAGCAUCUCAACUUCAGGAAAGAAAGAAAAGUUUUUUAAAACGCCUCCAUCAAUCAAGUAUUCAAACUCCAAACUCAAACAAGCGUUCGGAAAAACUAGUCCUUUCAACCCAAAAUUCGAUCGCUUGUCUCCCUCUAGUGUGCUCAUGUCGACACCAUCUUUCUCUGAGUCUAUCGUGAAAAAAAAUGGAACCUGUGAAAAAGUGGUUUCGGAACCAAAGAAAAAAUUUUUCUCAGGACCUCACUCCCUCAACUUAUCCUCUGGACCAGUGAGAGUCGAAACACCAAAGAUCAUCUCGCCCAAGUCAAACAGCAACAGCAAUACUUUCAAGCCUCACAGAUUUGCUAAAAAUGACACGCUUUCCUCUGAGCGCAACAAUUCUACUGUGCACUCAAAGAUACCAGCAGCAUCUAUCCCCAGGUUUUUCCCUAGAAAUGUGAACAUUACGCCAUCCUAUCAAGAAAAUUUAUCUAAUUGCUCUCUCAAAUCUGAGAAUUUGGAGAUCUCUGUUGCUGCUUACAGUAGUGACUUAUCUUUGCCUCUUUCUGAAGCCUCAUUUAGUAGCAGCAACACUGUAAAAACUUUUGGUCUUGCUAAAAGUAACACACUCUCUUCAGAGCGUAGCAAUACUUCAGUGCGCUCAAAAAUACCAUCAGCCUCUAUUCCUAAAUUUUUCCCCAAAGUCGUAACCAACACACAUCCAAAUCAAGAAAAUUUGCCUAACAGCACUCCUAAAUCAGAAGAUUUGGAAAAGUCUGUUGCCUUUUACAGCAGUGAUUCGUCUCUCCCACUCUCUGAUGCUUCUUUCAAUAGCUCUGCCAAUUCAAACAAAUCUCGUAUUGGUGGGAUACCAAAACCCAAGUUUUUUGCGGACCCUCCAAAAAAACAACCAACAACUCGAUUACCACGCUGAAUGACUUAUCAAGAAUCCCUAAAGUUAGUGCUACUAAUUAUUUCCAAAAAAAUAGCAAGUAAAGGAACUUCUAAGGCCUCUAAGUUGAACCUCUUUUUUCUUUGAUCACUGGAAUAUUUUUAACUUCAUUUAGUGUAGCUGCAAGUCGCAGCGAUUUUAUGUACCCACGACCAUAAUUUUAAUUGUCUCAUUCCCUAUUUUUCUGAGCAUGUAAGCACAUUCGACCUCAUGUAAUAUAGAUUUUAAGUACUUAAUCCGCAAGAUUUUGUGGACCGUUUGGUCAUCAAUUAUAAUUUUACAUCAGAACAAAGAGUUUUCAAGUAUCUUUACUUAUUUUUAUGAAAUCUCAUCUUUCUCUUUUAUAGCAAGUAAAGGAACUUCCAAUGCCUCUCUCUGUCUCUUCUUCCUAUCAUACCUUGCAUUACAGUAGGAUAGGGGUGCAUUAAAUUUUUCAGAAAUUUUAAAUGAAGAAUGGAUACAAGGUGACAAUUUUUCAUGCAGAAUUCAUCACAAAAAGCCAAUUAGAAGGAAGGGGGGUGAUAUUGUAAAUUUCGUAAUUUUUCAGUGUGUAGACUUGAGUUACGUUGUGGGAGGUCAAGAAACCUGGUCUUCCGUGUUGCGUAUUUGAUGAAAGGCCCUUGAAAGAAAAGUUGAGUAUUGCUCUAAACAAUGUUGUGGUUGAUGUACUGAUCAAAUUUUUGAAAUCUCUGUAUUACCACUGUUUUCUUGCAUGGAAAAUAGGUGGGAGAUGAUGAAUGUUUGUGUUCAGCUUAGAAAUACCAAACGGAGAAAAUUUUGACAAGAAAAUAGUUAGAUUUUAUGUUCUGAAACAAUUAUGACUGUGGUUCCUGUUGCAUCUUUUUUAACUGUUUCAACUUCAGUGAUUCGUCAUGUUUUUAAGUCCUCUUCCGAAGUCUGUCAAGUCAUUGACCUUUGGAAUCAACUUUUAAGCUCUUCAACUCAGAAACUUGUGAAGAUAAAUAAGUUCUAUAUAGGUGUUCAAUAUUACUACUUGAGCAAUGAAAAUGUAAUGGUGUUCUGUCAUUUAUCACAGAUACCUUAUUGAAUGCAAGAAUGAAGUGCGAGAGACAGAAGUCCAAAUGCUCAGUCCAUGUUUCUCUUCAAGGCUGUUUUUCAGUUUAGAAGUCUUUGGGCUCACUACUAACUAGGGUACCUUUUUUGAUUAAGUAAGAAACUCAAGUUGUAUAAUUGUGCCUUUAAAAAUGUAAAAAUCUCUAAAUAGGGCGUGUUGAGUCCUGUCUGUGACCCAAAAAUUACACUUAAAUCAUAAUGGACAAACAAUGGUGGUCCGGACGAUUUCUAUUUCAGCCCCCAUUUUAGAGAAGUGUGAUGCGCAAAUAUUAAGGGCUUCGCUGAGCUAUUUGAAUGUACCUGAUGCCAUGUCAAAAGUGAAUGAAGUGGAACCACCUAUGUAUAUCCUCCUUGCAAUUAAUUAACCUCAUGUUUCGAGUUUAUUUGAUCAAUUCAUUUCUUACUUCGAAUGACACCUAAGUGACAGCCAAGGGACAAGGGGUGAUUCUUUCCAUCUCUUUUUCUGAUCUGUGUGUAAUAUGGUACCAGUAGUGCCCCAUCUCAGAUAUCAUGAUAUAUUAGCACCAUUUUUAUUUAACUCAACCAGCAGCCUUACUUCUGUUAAGUGUUUUAAUCAUGAAAAAGUGUUAUGAAAGAUCAAUCAUCCUAAAAAAAAUUUUAUUAACUUAGUUUUUUUUCUUUAUUAGUGCUGUGAGACAUCAUGAUUCCUAAAAAUUUUCAUGUUCACUUUUAAGUAGUUUUGUUCGAGAAAUUUCUUGGCUAUCAAUCUUUCGCUUACACAUUGGCAACUUAAUAAUUUAAAGGAACUUUGUGAUGUACCAUGUGCCUCCUACUUGAAUGGAGUAUUUUAGAUGUUUUUAAUUUUUUACUUUUUGUAAUUUUUUCUUCUUCUUUUAAAAAACCACUGUUUCUAGAAGUUUUUACCUGUGAAUAAAAAAUUGAUCUCAAUUUGUUGUAUUUGCUUCUUCUCAUAAGUAGUAAGUAGAGAAAGCACAUCAAACGAUGAACUCCCAAAGCAUGUUUCUCCGUUUUAAAAUGUUGCAGACUUCCUGUAAUACUCAAUUCUUUAAAUGCAGAACUAGUCAUCGUCAACUCUCAAAACCAGCAGUGAUUUUUCUACUAUACGAAAAUUAUUUUGUGGAUAGUGUUGGUAGCUAGAAACAAGUCUGAAAAUAUUAAUGCUCAAAUGAUUUUAUUCCUUGUGAAACAGCAUUAAAUUUAAGAGAAGGAUUAACAUUAUAUAAGAAACAAAACUGUUUAAAAAUACAAAAGACAAAUUUGAAAAAAAAAAUCAAUAAGUGAUUAAACAAUAAAGAGGAAUAAUACGAAAUGCUCACGUAAAUAAAUGAACUGAGAGUAAUCUUUUCAUGGAAUUCAGACAGGUACGAAGACAACGAAAGAAUAACUUAAGCAAAGUACAAAAUUUCUGAGGUCUUCGAAUGCAACAAAAAGGAAACAGGGUUUGGUGAGCAGGAAAGAUGGGUUUAGAAUACCUCAAAAAUAAGAAUUUAAAUAGGUACUUGACUUCUCAAAAACAAAUAAUAAGUCCCUUUAUGUUUUUCUUUUAACUUCAAAACUUAAAAGAAAAAAAAUGUUAAGCUGAGACUCGAUAUGCAGGAAUUUGUAACAAAGACGGUUCCUUCUUCUAUAAUCAAAUUAAAAUUCAUGGAGCUUUAAACUAAUACGGUAAAAAAAGAUGCACAUCAUCCUACUGUUUUGACAUUUUUUUUUCUUAAACAAAUUUGCUAUUUUUUUUCUUUUUAAUUUUUAUUUUUGGAAUCCCCAAUAUCUCCUUGGGUUCAGGAGAUGUUUUUUUUUUACUUUUUUUUUUAAAAAAAAAGUUUCACAUUGUUAGUUUACUGGUUUUUUCCCAUUUCACUUUAAUGGUCUAAGCAGAUCUUACAGAUUAGAAAUUUUAGACACUAUCGACUGAUACAAAAAUAGGACAGCGUAUAACGGAGUGUGACAGAAAAAACGGAAUUAGUCGUAGACUUUGGAAAAGGCAAAAGGAAGAAAAUGAAUAUUUCAAUAAAAAUACUGUGGGAAAAAUCUAAUGGAGGAAUAAUCGUGACACCAAAGCUAUGAUGUAAGAAGAAACUGAAAAUAGAGGGGAAAACCCAGAGUAAACUUCAUAAGAGGGGAAAAAUAAAGUUUCUUUUUUUCUUCAUCUUUUGUCCAUUUUUCCUUUUUUUUUCAUUUUAAAUUUUUCUUUUUUUUUCUUACUUUAUAAUUUU